rnacentral:lncRNA from 1 species
UCUCUCUAAAAGCUAAAAGGAAAAACUAAGAAGAGGUAGUGCCCAAGUGCCUUGAAGGUGGAGUGUUGAUUGUGAAUGUGAUGAGAUGAAUGGAGCCUCCCUCUCCCCCUCCUUAAAUAGGUGGGGAAGGUUGGUUCCCCAGGGUGUAAACUGCAAUUUGCACGCGGGGACUGCGGGAGGAUAGGCUCAGCACCGCCUCUGCGAAAGGCGGUGCCGAGAUGGGCUUGGUCAGGGUCGGCCGACCCUAGGGGGCGGCCGCCCCCUGGUGGGCCCCGCUGGCCCCGGCCCGAAGCCCGUUGCCUUCCUCUCGGGCCCCUGAGUCC